rnacentral:lncRNA from 1 species
UGCCAGCAGCUCCUGCAGGCUCUGGCUGAAGGUCUGCAGCUGUCGCUCGCUCGUGAGCCCCUUGGUGCGGAGAAACUUGGAGAUGAAGGACACGGCGGCGGCGAUCUCGCCUAUCAUGGUGGCGGCCCGGGUGUAGAAGGGAUGCAUGGGGGCGGCGUGCGGGGGCGGCCCGGGGCGGCCGGGGCUCGGCGGCGCGGCCCCGACGGCGGAGCAGCCACCCCGGGCUUCCUCACCGGGCGGAAGGCUGAGAGGAAGAGAGGGCGUGAGGGGCGGACGACUACUUUUUUCUUUCUUUCUUUAGACUAAAAAAGUUAUUUUCGAGACAGGAGGCGGCAGGAGAGAGGAAGAGACGAGCGAUGGCGGCCUGGUCACAUCGCUCGGACCUCCCCAGCCGCCUCCGCCUCCAGCUCCGCAGCAUUCGAAGAUCUCAAAAGCUGCAUUUCCAGCUCCGAGGGGCGAAGAGAUGCAAGCGCCGUGCAGCACCCUUUAUAGUGCCACGAAAAGGAAGUGGCGUAGCUGGAGCGUGAUGGCCGACUCCCAGCCAAUCCGAAUAUCGCACCAUUGUGACGCAAGACGGUUCGGAGCCGAAAGGGGCGGGAAAAGAGUCCAGGAGGCGGGUCCAGAGAUAGGGAAGAGAGGGAGGAGCUGACGUAAUCCGCUUGUAAACAAAUAAACCCGGAGUGGCGGCUGGAGACCCAGUUGCUUGUGUCGAGGGAGGGAGGGAGGGAACCGAGGGUGCGCGUGUGAAAGCUCCGCCCCCAGCCCUAGCUCCUCCUUCCCGCUUCAGCAGGUCCAGGCUCUGCGCCAGUGCAUCCUUCUGCGAGAGGGCGCUGCCUGGGCCCGCUUGCCCUGGAGUUAACUUCAGCAGUCAACGGGGAGAAGAGUGGAAACCUUACUGGAUGCGGACAGGAGAGCCAGUUACUGAAAGCAGAUACAACGCGGAUCCUGUAAAGAGUGAAUUGUAUAUUUCCACAUAUGCCGGACAAUAGGCAGAAAGUGGAGACCCAAAGAACUUGUGAUAUGACGGACAUAAGAAGCUUCAGUUGGCCUCAAAUGUCAAAUAAUAUCCUUCCUGAAUAAUCAAGAAUGUCAAGCUUUUACUUUCUACAUCUUGGACUGUACUUUGU